GUGCAGCAGGCGCGAAACCUCCGCAAUGCUCGAAAGAGCGACGGGGGGACUCCAAGUGCCUACGCUCAGCGUAGGCUGUUCCCGAGCCUAAAAAAGCUCGGGGAGUAAGGGCUGGGUAAGACGGGUGCCAGCCGCCGCGGUAAUACCCGCAGCCCGAGUGGUGGCCGCUAUCAUUGGGCCUAAAGCGUCCGUAGCCGGCUCGGUAAAUGCCUGGGUAAAUCGUCUGGCCCAACCAGACGAAUUCCGGGUAGACUGCCGGGACUAGGGGACCGGAGGAGGGAGGAGGGGUACUCCGAGGGGUAGGGGUGAAAUCAGCAAAGGUGAGUUGCUGAUGUAACUUGCCUUGC
rnacentral:rRNA from 1 species